AACUAAAUUCAUAAUAAAUCACUUUGUGUCGAAAUUCCAAGCGAGUAACAACGAUUUUGGCUGGAGUAAAAAUUUCUCUGCGAUUUGUUCCAAAUUCGUGUGAAAAUGCCCGCAAAGAAGGAUUCGAGCAAGGGUGCCAAGAAAGGGGCUGCCGCUCCUGCUGGGGCGAAACCGACCGCCGAUCCUGUGACUUCCGGAUCCACUACCGCUGCGGAGCCAGCCGCCAAGGAAGCCAAGGGCACCAAGAAGGGCAAAGGCAAGAAGAAGUAACGUUCCUAGCUGGUUUGGUGGCACUAACGUGA
rnacentral:sRNA from 1 species